GAUGAACGCUGGCGGCGUGCCUAAUACAUGCAAGUCGAGCGAACAGACGAGGAGCUUGCUCCUCUGACGUUAGCGGCGGACGGGUGAGUAACACGUGGAUAACCUACCUAUAAGACUGGGAUAACUUCGGGAAACCGGAGCUAAUACCGGAUAAUAUAUUGAACCGCAUGGUUCAAUAGUGAAAGACGGUUUUGCUGUCACUUAUAGAUGGAUCCGCGCCGCAUUAGCUACUUGGUAAGGUAACGGCUUACCAAGGCAACGAUGCGUAGCCGACCUGAGAGGGUGAUCGGCCACACUGGAACUGAGACACGGUCCAGACUCCUACGGGAGGCAGCAGUAGGGAAUCUUCCGCAAUGGGCGAAAGCUUGACGGAGCAACGCCGCGUGAGUGAUGAAGGUCUUCGGAUCGUAAAACUCUGUUAUUAGGGAAGAACAAAUGUGUAAGUAACUAUGCACGUCUUGACGGUACCUAAUCAGAAAGCCACGGCUAACUACGUG
rnacentral:rRNA from 1 species